rnacentral:tRNA from 1 species
GCUUAGGUAGCUUAUCAUUAAAGCAAAGCACUGAAGAUGCUUAGAAAGUAUUUAUUACUCCAAAGCA